rnacentral:rRNA from 1 species
CCCUUAGACGUUCUGGGCCGCACGCGCGCUACACUGACCAGUGCAACAAGCAUCCGUCCUUGGCUGACAGGCUCGGGCAAUCUUUGAACGCUGGUCGUGAUGGGGAUAGACUUUUGCAAUUUUUGGUCUUCAACGAGGAAUUCCUAGUAAACGCAAGUCAUCAACUUGCAUUGAUUACGUCCCUGCCCUUUGUACACACCGCCCGUCGCACCUACCGAUUGAAUGGUCCGGUGAAGCCUCCGGAUUGGCGCGCACCUCGGUGCCGCCGAGAAGUUGGCUAAACCUUACCAUUUAGAGGAAGGUGAANUCGUANCA